CGAGCUGGGUUCAGAACGUCGUGAGACAGUUCGGUCCCUAUCCGGCGCGGGCGUAGGAUAUUUGAGAGGAGCUGCCCCUAGUACGAGAGGACCGGGGUGGACGGACCACUGGUGUAUCAGCUGUCGACCAACGGCAUAGCUGAGUAGCCAAGUCUGGACGGGAUAAACGCUGAAGGCAUCUAAGCGUGAAGCCCCCCUCAAGAUGAGAUAUCCCAUUCCUUCAAGGAAAUAAGAUCCCUUAUAGACGAUAAGGUAGAUAGGUUCAAGGUGUAAGUGCGGUAACGCAUUCAGCUGAUGAAUACUAAUAGAUCGAAGGUUUAUUCUA
rnacentral:rRNA from 1 species